CUUGGAAAAAUUUCAUUUUCCAGGGAGCAUGUCUUUACACAAUGGCAUUAAUGCACAUUCUAGCACAGCAUGUGCGUGUAGAACUGUCUCAUGACAGUGAUUUUGAGAGUCCAGCACUACAGAGAAGGAGAGUGAUUCAGCAAGAAGCCCCACAAUCUCCAUCACAGAGGGAAACCCCUGAGAGGCACGAGGGUGUAGCAGUAAAUACUCCAGCAGAUGAAGGGUUGAAUUUGCUGCGAGCAAAUGUUCACUUUGCAGAUUUUAUCCCUGUUAAUCUCGAAGAAGAUGAAGAUGUUGAAGACGCCAUAAGACUCAGUCUUUUAGAAGAGGCAAUGCAGCCAU